AUACGAAGGGUGCAAGCGUUACUCGGAAUUACUGGGCGUAAAGCGUGCGUAGGUGGUUCGUUAAGUCUGAUGUGAAAGCCCCGGGCUCAACCUGGGAAUUGCAUUGGAUACUGGCGGGCUAGAGUACGGUAGAGGGUGGCGGAAUUCCUGGUGUAGCAGUGAAAUGCGUAGAGAUCAGGAGGAACAUCCGUGGCGAAGGCGGCCACCUGGACCAGUACUGACACUGAGGCACGAAAGCGUGGGGAGCAAACAGGAUUAGAUACCCUGGUAGUCCACGCCCUAAACGAUGCGAACUGGAUGUUGGGGGCAAUCAGGCCUUCAGUAUCGAAGCUAACGCGUUAAGUUCGCCGCCUGGGGAGUACGGUCGCAAGACUGAA
rnacentral:rRNA from 1 species